rnacentral:lncRNA from 1 species
CUUUCAAGGUUGAUUUGAAGUGAUUUUGAAGUUUGACCUUUCUUUUAUUUUUUAAUUCAAGUUUAUUUUAAUAUUAAAAAUGCCAAAAAUAUUUUGCUUAUUGUUUGACCUCCAAUCUUCAUCCCAUUUCUGAUUUCUCAUUGUUUGACUUUACCUUUCAAUGUCAUUUGGUCAAUAAAUAUGGAUUGGUACAUUUUUUAUUUCACCUUAUGCA